UACGGGAGGGUGCAAGCGUUGCUCGGAAUUAUUGGGCGUAAAGGGUAGGUAGGUGGUCUCGUUUGUCUGGGGUGAAAGCCUUGAGCUUAACUCAAGAAGUGCCCCAGAAACGGCGAGACUGGAGUCUUGGAGAGGGUCGUGGAAUUCCCGGUGUAGCGGUGAAAUGCGUAGAGAUCGGGAGGAACACCAGAGGCGAAAGCGGCGACCUGGACAAGUACUGACACUCAACUACGAAAGCGUGGGGAGCAAACAGG
rnacentral:rRNA from 1 species